CCCCGCUCCUGCCACUUCCGGGGUCGCAGUCCCGGGCAUGGAGCCGCGACCGUGAGGCGCCGCUGGACCCGGGACGACCUGCCCAGCCCGGCCGCCGCCCCACGUCCCGGUCUGUGUCCCACGCCUGCAGCUGGAAUGGAGGCUCUCUGGACCCUUUAGAAGCUGCCCCUGGAAGGAGCUUUUUGAAGGCUUUGAGGAGAGGAAGGGGAGAGUGCUGAUUUCAGCAGGAUUUGGUGGAGGGGUGCCUGGAUCCACCUACACUGCCUGACCCGGCACCUCUGCCCUCCUGAGGUCAGCUGAGCGGUUAAUGCGGAAGGUUAAGAAACUGCGCCUGGACAAGGAGAACACCGGAAGUUGGAGAAGUCCCUGCUGUCCACUCCCGCGGGUUUUCCCACUUCCUCCAAGCAAGCAGCGACUUCCCCAAGCUAAGCUGUUGGUCCCGGAGGACAGGGCUUCUGGCAAGGUCGGCAGUCACUCGGAGCCCACAAAGGGAAGCGAGACCAGCCCCGGUGCCACCCUUUCCAGACCACUGGCUCUCGCAGAACUGGGUCACUGCGGCCAUGUUUAGAUUUCUGUAAAACAAAUAUUUGCCUGGCCAGUCCAGUCAGGUCAAGGAGUGUGCUAAG
rnacentral:sRNA from 1 species